GGAACCUAGAAGCAACCGACAAAGGACACAGCCUUGAACAAGAAGCUCUGGGCUGCAGCAGCUUGUUUACUGUAAGGUUCAGGCUUGCCCCAUGUGUUCCGAAUGAUGGACUGCACCUUUUCCUUCAGCUCUGUCACACUGUGCUCGCUGCAGCUGGACAAGGAGAAGCUGGAUCGGUGGAAGUACUCUCGGCACGUAAGGCCAAGACACAGCGAGGGCAACCUAAACCCAGUGGGUCGGGGAUGCCAGAACAGCCGCACAGAGCCGCUGGAGUGUCGGGACCUGCUGGUCCAGAACGCACUCUUCACUGGGGACCUGGAGAUGGUUCAGAAGUACUUCACCAAGGAUGCGGCUAUCAAUCUCAUCAUUGAGACCAAGGGCGAUGAGCUGCGCUGGACUAGCAGGAAAUUUGAUGAUGCUGGUGGUGAAAACCUCACUGUGCCAAAAUAGCAGAGCUGUUGAUGAAAGCUGCUUUCCCGGAGACGUAGGUUCCUUAUAGUGUCUCAGCACCAAGCUAUGGAGGAUAUUGAUAAUGCUUGACCCUGACUGGUUUUUGGGGGUCCAAACUAGCAAGAGACAAACAGAUAGGGAAGGCUUGGAGAUGCAAGUGCUGAGGCUUUUGGGUGCUGAAGGUUAUUUACUGAGUGCCAAGGCAAGGUCUGUAUACCCAAGGUUUUAAAUUUUUAUAGUCUAUGUAGGAAGAAAAAGACAAAAAAAAAAAAACUUUUUGUUUAACUAAGACCACUUUUCAGAAAAAUGUUAAUUGCACUUUUUAACUCUGAAGUGUUCCUGUCUUGUGCUGGGCUGACAAACCCUUUAAAUUUCUGCCCCUGAGAAAGCAGAACAGCUUAUGUAAAACAACUUCACCCAGAAAUUGC
rnacentral:lncRNA from 1 species